rnacentral:rRNA from 1 species
UACGAAGGGUGCAAGCGUUACUCGGAAUUACUGGGCGUAAAGGGUGCGUAGGUGGUUUGUUAAGUCUGCUGUGAAAUCCCCGGGCUCAACCUGGGAAUGGCAGUGGAUACUGGCAAGCUAGAGUGCGGUAGAGGGUAGUGGAAUUCCCGGUGUAGCAGUGAAAUGCGUAGAGAUCGGGAGGAACACCAGUGGCGAAGGCGGCUACCUGGACCAGCACUGACACUGAAGCACGGAAGCGUGGGGAGCAAACAGG